GGGGAGAGGACUGGCCCAGGCGGUCCAGCGGGGGAGAGAGGGUGGGUGGGCAGUGCCCCUCAGGCGGAGAGGGCAGUGGUGUUACUGCACACGUCAGCCCCUUCCCGCCCGGCACGCGGGGAUGCCCACCACCCUCAUGAUCCCUAUUUUACACAUGAGGGAGCCAAAGGCUAUACCAGCCCAGAAGAAGGAACUUCCUCGUAUGGGAAUAAACCCAUGCAGACAGUACAGGGUCAGAGCUGGGGUUUCACCCAAGUCCCGUGGUCUAGGUCAGCACCACACCCAAGAAAACAGUUCUGAGAGGGGCUGGGAGGGAGGGAGACUGCGCAAGAAUGGGUAUUAGGGUCUCGGAAGAAGGUCAUGAGUGGUCAACAGGCUCGGGAGACUCUGGCAUGGUGUUGAAAGGCCACACUAAGCCAACGUGGAGGACAGACUGGGUGGAGACGAGAGUCUCAGCCAAGGGCUGGGGUCCCAGUCCCCUCCCAGGCCCUUCUCAGAACCACACCUUACACUUGUUACACUCGUUCACACAGUGGUCACACACAGUGUCCAUCUGAAGGGAGGGGCUGCCUGACGUGGGCCUCUCAUCCCAGGAUAUGACCCAGGGAUGAACUGCCCAAAUUUCCCUGGGAGUCGCCAUCCCCGCUAUGCUUGCAAUCCCCACCCUGACGUCUAGGUGGCGCCAGAAUCUCACACUGAUUCCUCCCAGGUUGGGCGCCAACCACGCCCAGUGAAGGUUGUUUCAACUCGGUCCCUGCAGACUCCAGGAAGAAGUAGGCGCGUCAGCUCUUGCCCUCCCAUCUCAGCCUCAGGGACAUCCGGAGCAAGUACUGCAUCUGUUCUUUUCAAAUGUAAAAAAUAAUUGUACUGAAAAGAUAAUUUAACAUUAAGUUUAUUUUUAAAGUUUUUAAAAUUAUCAAAGUAAUAUAUUGACAUGAUUCAACAUAAUAGGCUCCUGUUGGUUUUCUUCAGAUAAUUAAAAUAUUGUUACCAAUUCACCCCCUCGCCCAACACCACAGGCACACACGUUUACC
ensembl:lncRNA